rnacentral:rRNA from 1 species
GACGAACGCUGGCGGCGUGCUUAACACAUGCAAGUCGAACGAAGUGGCGAACGGGUGAGUAACGCGUAAUCAACCUGCCCUUCAGUGGGGGACAACAGUUGGCAACGACUGCUAAUACCGCAUACUGAAGGAGGGGAUUGCGUCUGAUUAGGUAGUUGGAGGGGUAACGGCCCACCAAGGCGAUGUUCAGUAGCCGGUCUGAGAGGAGGAACGUGCAAAUUGGGACUGAGACACGGCCCAGAAUCCUACGGGAGGCAGCAGGGGGGAAUUUUCCGAAAUGGACGAAAGUCUGACGGAGCAACGCCGCGGGAGUGAUGACGGCUUUCGGGUUGUAAAGCUCUGUUAAGCGGGACGCGGUACCGGAAUAGAAAGCCACGGCUAACUACGUGCCAGCAGCCGCGGUAAUUC